CUGUCCCUUAGCCAUGAACUUUCAUAUCUAACUUUCAUCGUUCAUCUUAUUUAAAUUUUUAAAAAAAAACUAAAAAAACAUAAAUAACACGUAAAGUGUUAUUCAUGUUUUAUAAUCUAAUAACAAUAAAAAUACUAAUCAUAAGAAAAUUUUAAAUAAGAUGGACGAUCAAAGUUAAACACGAAAACUUAUGGAUGUGUUUAUU
rfam:Oryza barthii chromosome 11, whole genome shotgun sequence.